rnacentral:lncRNA from 1 species
UCGGAUUUUUUUUUCCGUUAGUGUGUUGUGAGGAAGAGAGUUGUGGGAAAUGACAUAUAUAGAGAGAAAUUUUUGAGUUGGGUAGUUGAAAUAUAACAACAAUUUUACAAGGAAUGUUUUACAUGGAUUUUACAUGGUUUUAACAUAAUAUUUACAACGACUUUACGACGAAAUUACGUAUGUUAAAGCACAUUGAAUACACGUUUUCACCUAAAUAUAACGGUAACAUGUUUCGUUGUAAUGUCGAUGUAACGAUUACGACGUAUUUCUCAUUCCACGUACUUUCGUGGUAAACUUACAUGGAUUUUACGACGAAAAUAUUUCGUCGUAAAUUUACAUGGCGUUUAC